rnacentral:rRNA from 1 species
UACGGGGGGGGCAAGCGUUGUUCGGAAUUACUGGGCGUAAAGGGCUCGUAGGUGGCCAACUAAGUCAGACGUGAAAUCCCUCAGCUUAACUGGGGAACUGCGUCUGAUACUGGAUGGCUUGAGUUUGGGAGAGGGAUGCGGAAUUCCAGGUGUAGCGGUGAAAUGCGUAGAUAUCUGGAGGAACACCGGUGGCGAAGGCGACUCUUUGGCCUGUAACUGACGCUGAGGCGCGAAAGCGUGGGGAGCAAACAGG